GUUGAUUAGAUACCCUGGCAGUCCACGCCGUAAACGAUGUCGAUUUGGAGGCUGUGUCCUUGAGACGUGGCUUCCGGAGCUAACGCGUUAAAUCGACCGCCUGGGGAGUACGGCCGCAAGGUUAAAACUCAAAUGAAUUGACGGGGGCCCGCACAAGCGGUGGAGCAUGUGGUUUAAUUCGAUGCAACGCGAAGAACCUUACCUGGCCUUGACAUGUCUGGAAUCCUGCAGAGAUGCGGGAGUGCCUUCGGGAAUCAGAACACAGGUGCUGCAUGGUGGUCGCCAGCU
rnacentral:rRNA from 1 species